CAGGUGGUGCAUGGUUGUCGUCAGCUCGUGUCGUGAGAUGUUGGGUUAAGUCCCGCAACGAGCGCAACCCCUAUCUUCAGUAGCCAGCAUUACGGAUGGGCACUCUGGAGAGACUGCCAGGGACAACCUGGAGGAAGGUGGGGAUGACGUCAAAUCAUCAUGCCCCUUAUGGCCAGGGCUACACACGUGCUACAAUGGCGUGAACAAAGGGAAGCAGCCAUGUGAAUGUGAGCAAAUCCCAAAAAUAACGUCUCAGUUCGGAUUGUAGUCUGCAACUCGACUACAUGAAGCUGGAAUCGCUAGUAAUCGCGAAUCAGAAUGUCGCGGUGAAUACGUUCCCGGGUCUUGUACACACCGCCCGUCACACCAUGGGAGUCAGUAACGCCCGAAGCCGGUGACCUAACCGAAAGGGAGGAGCCGUCGAAGGUGGGACCGAUAACUGGGGUGAAGUCGUAACAAGGUAGCCGUAUCGGAAGGUGCGGCUGGAUCACCUC
rnacentral:rRNA from 1 species